rnacentral:rRNA from 1 species
UAACACCGGCAGCCCAAGUGGUAGCCACGUUUAUUGGGUCUAAAGCGUUCGUAGCCGGCUUGGUAAGUUCCUUGGUAAAUUUAGCCGCUUAACGGUUAAGCUUUCAGGGAAUACUGCUUGGCUUGGGACUGGGAGAGGUCAGAGGUACUCCAGGGGUAGGGGUGAAAUCCAUUAAUCCUUGGGGGACCACCGGUAGCGAAGGCGUCUGACCAGACCAGCUCCGACGGUGAGGGACGAAGGCUAGGGGCGCGAACCGGAUUAGAUACCCGGGUAGUCCUAGCUGUAAACGAUGCGGGCUAGGUGUUGGCGUUACUGCGAGUGGUGCCAGUGCCGAAGGGAAGCCGUUAAGCUCGCCAUCUGGGGAGUACGGUCGCAAGGCUU